ACUGCAAUCUAUAGAGCUGGAGUGGGUGUUUGCAAAGUGAUUGUGAUUUUGUAGACACUGAAUGAUAAAGAAUGAACUUGCUAUUUGGAGAUGAAUGACUGGAUGUGGUUCAGAGGAUGACUGCUGUGGUUACUACUAGCUGGUUUAUUUUUGGGAUGGAAAUCAGCUGUUUGUAGUAUGUUCUGAUACCUUUUAGGCACUUGCGUCAAUAUUGCAGGUGGCAAUCUCUGGGGAAAUGUACAAUUUCUUUAAUGAGGCUGUUUGUUUAAGGAGCUUUUGAUACUGCAGACUUCGAUCAGCCCCAGCCAGCAAAGCCAGAGACAGACAAUGAACUGCAUACAAAGGAGGAAGAACCACCCAUCACCUCGCUCUUUUCGUGUUUCGCAGCCCCUCUGCAUGUUCUGGAAUAUUGAAGGAAUUUUCAUUUAUUGUUAAAGAAGAAGGUUUGCUGCUUUCCACAACAUGACAUCUUAACCUGGAACAAAUAGAAACAACAGAGCAGUGAAAUGUAGUACAAUUGUAAGAGGACAUGGUUAUUUUUUCUUUCUUUCUCCAAGCCUCUUCUGCUUCAUAGAUUCCAUUCCCUGCUGGUAUUUGUUUCAUAUGUUCAAUGAUGCAGCCUUUAUUUCUGCUUCCCUUCCUUGCCCCUGCCCACCACAGUGACCAACAAAGAGAAGAUCAUCAAUUAUAACAGUGCUGGACUCAAAGGGAAACCUAACCAUAUUGCUGAGGAACCAGCAAUCAGAAGGACAAGAUUACCUGCACAAAACAUAAAUGGUAAUGGUUUGGUAAGCUUGUAUAGGCACUGACUAGCUACAGACAGUGACAUGCUAGGGAGAACACAAUCUGAAAGGGAGUGAUGAGAACACUAUUUGGGAGACUGGAUCUCAUCUUCAGCUGUGCACAUGUACUAGAUUUGAAAGGGAAAGGAAGGAGGCUUGGAAGGGCAAUAGAUGAUUCUGGCUGGAUCUAGACACAUCAAAGAAGCAUUUCAGUUUAAAGCUUUGUAAAUUUGAACAGGGAAAACAGGUAGAGAAAAACGGGACUCCAUGUCGCCAUCUGGUGGCACAAAGUUAUAUUGCACAUACAACACAUAUAAAUCGCUUUUUCUUUACCAGUCUAGCCGAUUCCUCUAUCUUCCUGUCUCUUAUUCCAUGACAGAGGCUCUGAGGGUUUUUUGUGUGGUAAAGCUUGCCAUGCAUGUUCUGCAGCAGGCUACACAUGCUGCAUUACUCUUCUGCCAGUAGCUUUUUUAAAAAAAAAUAUUUAAAAGCUGCUCUGUACUCUAGAACAGGCAGUUAGUUACUAGCAACUUUCCUCUUCUUAAAUCAUUUUUACAUAUAUACCAUACUUGUAACUAUAAACACUAGCAGUAAAUAUUUCAAAGAGCUGUAUCUGGAAGGAACCAACAAGUCAUUCUUUAUCACACACCAUGCCUAUCUGUGGCAAAUUUCACCUACCAAGAUACUAAGCCAGAGGUAGGCAACCUAAGGCUCGUGGGCUGGAUGCGGCUCAAUCGCCUUCUAAAUCCGGCCCAUGGACGGUCCGGGAAUCGGCAUGUCUUUACAUAGUAGAAUGUGUCCUUUUAUUUAAAAUGCAUCUCUGGGUUAUCUGUGGGGCAUAGGAAUUAGUUGAUUUUUUUCUUCAAAAUAUAGUCCGGCCCAUGACAUGGUCUGAGGGAUGGUGGACCGGCUCACGGCUGAAAAAGGUUGCUGACCCCUGUACUAAGCAGAGGAACACUUGUUUUCAGUUGCAUAGGCAGCUCAAUAUGUCCCUCAAAACAACAUGAAAUGCUUACCUAUGUUCCAUCACUUUGUUUCUUGGAACUUCCUUCCAAAACUGACCCAGUUCUUGUGUUCCUGUUCCAGAACACUGCUCCAUUUCUGCUGCCAUAAUCAAAAAACGGUCUUGCAGGGAAGCUGCACAACCUGUUUAAACAACAUGACAAUUUUACUUCCUUUGGAUUAAAGCAGUUAUUUCAAAAGUUUAUAGACUACGAGCAAAAAAAUCCACACCCCUGACUAUACCUACCAGUACAUAUACAAACAGCUAGUUUGUUACUGAAGAUAUGCAACAAUUAGAAGCACUGAACAAAAUUUGCCAAUUCACAAAAGUUAUGAAAGAGUAGAAGAUAAAUUCAGAGAUUAAAAUGUAAAACUAUAAAGGCUGUACCUGCAAGAAAGCCACUUGCUGCCAUCCUUCUGAAACCUUGUUGGAUUUGUCCCCUCAAAUGAGGCUUCCAUGCCUACAAAUUUCACCCCUUCAUUUAUAGGUGCCCCCCUUAAUCUCAAUCUACAAGGUGCCCCUUGUAAUUGGCAGACUUUAUCUACUCAGCAAAUUUUAUUCACUUUGGUCAAAAGUGGGCAUGGGUGGGUAGGUAGGUGAUAGUUUUGUUGUUGUUUUUUUAAAAAAUAACAAAAAAUCCCCAUAAUAGUAGCAGAGAAAGGCAGAAAGAAUCAUUUCUCCGAAGUGGGAUUCAGACUUUGUGUCAAUCUGAAGUACUGUGGUGUGAAUUGGGCUGUUUUCCAAAGCAUGAAUGUGGGUUCAAAUUGCAUCCUGUAACUUGUGUUCAGAUCUCGUAACAAGCCCUGGUGGACAUAAGCUAAUUGUAGGGUCAUGAAAAUACCCAGAUCUACAGCAGAUUCAUGGGGCAUAUACUGGUAAAUAAUUCGGGAUGAAUUUAUUUUACCAUAUACCUAUCACACAGCUGUCCUAAAAUAAAUUCUAAAAUCUAGUUGCUGUAAUUUUUCAAACACAAGUGGUAUACAUUCUAAGUCUCUCACUCCCUCCCCCCCCCCACAUUUUUAUAGGAUCCAGUAUAUUUUGAAUUCUUAAAUUCUCUAGGGCAGGGCUCAAUAUGUUUACACUAUGCACAAACAAAAAAGAAUCAAAUGAUGUGUGUGUGUGUGUGUGUGUGUGUGUGUGUGUAUGAGAUAGCAACAUCAAUCCAAGUGCACUCCUAAUCAUUCUACAAAAUAACUCAAAUAUAUUUAUGGUACAUCAGUAAGGCUGCUACUUAUCUGAAAUAUGUCCCUAAAUGUCAAAGCUUUGAUAAGCAAAAAAAUGGUCAUUUAAAUAGUACACAACUUGAAUCCGAGGCCUCUAACAGUAUAUUUAUUUGUUAAUCAGUAGCUAACUUUUUGCAUAUUUACAGGAAGCAUGAUGAACAAUAGAAUUUUUAGAAACAGGCUAGUAAUGAUAGAGGUUUAUAAAGAGAUUGACCAAUGAACUUUAUUAGGGUUUGUUUUGUUCAAAUUUUGGCCUAUGGAAUUCUACCUAUAAGGGACUGCAAACAGGCCUCAUCUGGGGAUGAGUGAAAAGGUUGAACUGGGAGAUUUGGACUAGACAGAAGCAGUCAUAUGAAAUCUGAAGUUAUUUGGUUUCAUGGGGUCACGAAGAGUCGGAAACGACUAAACAACAACAAAUGCUUAUGUUCUAGUACAUGUACAUAGAAUUCCAGCUGUCAGUAAUGUACAUUACAGAACUUGUUUAUUUCAUCCAUACAAUAGUGUACAAGAUUUUACUUACCUCCAUGAAGAGAUACUAUUAUAUCUAGUGAUGUGCCUGGUUCACAGCUGCUGUUACUUGGCUUCACUCUGUACUUGUCAGGAGCAGUUGUUCUAACCUAAACAAAGUGUAACUGUAUUAAAUGCUACCAGUUUUCUUAUUUAACAAGGUAGAAGACUAGAUUCUGCUCACAACUUACCAGCAGGACAAAAAAUUGAUUAGUAUUCUCCAUUUGUGUUAUUUUCCUUUUGAACACUAAUCUCCUAUUUAACUUCAGCAAAAUGCCAAACUUUACUCUCCCAAGUGUGUGUGUGUGUGUGUGGGGGUAUCAGGCUUGGGGGAACCCCAAAGUUUGCAAUGGGGACUUGGCAUGCACAGUGGCCACAUAAUGCUGUGUGUGUGAGGGAGAGAGAGAGAGUGCAAUAGCACAAAGAGGGAAGUACAGGAUGCAAAAUCAGCAAGAGUUCUGGGAACUUUCUGCAUGUUUACUCAACAGGAAGAUAUGGGUGCCAGACUGUAACCCUGAACAAGAACACUUCACACUAACCUUUUAUUGUUGAUACCACUUAUCCAUAACAAAUAACCAAUGAUAACACCCAAUUAUUCUUAAAUGUAAUCUAAGUAAUGAAUUAUGUAAAUUAAGCCAAAGAAAACAAUAUACUCUUCUGCUCUCAACUCACUGUACUGCUAAUUCUUCAUUAGGACACCUCAAGUUCUAGUAUAAUGGGAGAGUAAGAUCUCCUUCUCACUCUUUCCAUGUAAGUUUUACACACGUUUCCAUAUUAGCUUUAUAAACUGCAUAUCAUGUUCUUCCUUGGGGUAUCUUUCCUGAUAUUUCACUAUUAUCUGGCAUUUCACUGCAAUAUUAAAGUGACAAACAUUUGAUGAGAUCCAGUUAUACAGUAUAAUAUAAAAAAUAUAUAGUUUAUCUAGUCCUGGUUUGACAGUUUUGUCAGCUUGGCAUAGAAAGUUAUGCAUACCUUCUGAAAACCAUUUCAUCAGCUAUUAUGGUUACUAUUCAGUCAGGUUAAUCACCACAUAAACACAAUAUUUACCUUAAAUGCCACUGUAUUUUUGGUCACAUUUGUGAGAACUAUCAAGCAUUUCUUCUCUCCAGUUUCUUUGGACCCAAAAUGCAGUUCUUCUGCUGGACUAAUGAAAAAUCACAAAUUUGUAUUAAAGUAUUUGCAUUACAGGUUUACAAACUUCAUCCAUUCUCUUAAAGUUUCUGCUUAUUUAGAACACUAUCUGUCAGUUAACAGGCUCUAACCCAAUCCUUCAACGUAUACUGUUAAAUGUCAAAUACUUUUAACAGUCCUUUCAGUGUGAUUUUCACUUGAAAAGCAAUUCAUACGUGUAUUUUACUCAUAUCAUUUUGUGUUCCAAGUUUUCAGAAAUGUGUUUUUUUUUGUAAAAUACACAUGUAUUUUAACAAAGUAUCAUGAAGCAUCAACAAGCCAAGGGCAAAACAACUAUUUGUCAUCUUUUUGGGUAAGUAAUAUAUAUAUAUAUAUGUAUGGUGUUACCUGACAUGAAAUCACAUCACUAGUCCAUCUAGCUCAGUACUGUCUACUCUGAAUGGCAGCAACUCUCCAAACGCUUUCACAGCCCUACUACCGGAUAUAUUUUUUAAACUGAAGAUACAUAACAUACAUAACAUAACUAGGCUGAAAUAAUGAAAUAAUCCUUUUCUGGAAGACAAGUGGAAGUGAUGAAAUUUCAAUCAUUCAUUUAUAAUCACAUGAAGAAUUUAUUUUAGUGACAAAAUCAAACGCUAGAAGUUCUGAAUAAUGUUUCUUAGGUUGGAAUGUUUCUAGGCCAUAGAGUUCCAAUAAAUCCACUUUCUAAAAAUUAUCUUCAAUUACCUGCUCAGAAACCCAUGUGGUACAAACUUCAGAUGUAAUCAACAUCACAAUAUAAUGCAACUGCUACAGAUUUUCCACUGCUUCCCCAAAAUCUAGAUUGAUACCAAUUUGUAUAAACAAAAACUUUAAUUCAAAUUUCUAAUGAAACAGUCACAUUUCCAAAUUCUUAUGACACAUCAGGAUAUUUUCUACAUAUUUUAUGUUACAGCAUAUGUAAAAGUAAACAUCUAUAUUACAACAGGUGUUACAGUUCAAUUUACAGAUUUUUCUGCACUAUACAAAUUAACAAAGUAAUAAUUAAAGCCAGAGCAAUUUUGUAGAUCUCUUUUUUCUCCAUUCAAGGUAUAGUAUUUGACUCCCACACUAUAACUACCUAACACUAACUGACUACAUAAUAGGAUACUGCUGUGAGGAGGGGGGGGGGGGAAGGCAGCUACAAUACACUCAUAAAACGUGUAUCCAUC